rnacentral:rRNA from 1 species
UUUUAUGAGAGUUUGAUCCUGGCUCAGGACGAACGCUGGCGGCGUGCCUAAUACAUGCAAGUCGAACGCUUCUUUUUCCACCGGAGCUUGCUCCACCGAAAAAAGAGGAGUGGCGAACGGGUGAGUAACACGUGGGUAACCUGCCCAUCAGAAGGGGAUAACACUUGGAAACAGGUGCUAAUACCGUAUAACAAUCGAAACCGCAUGGUUUUGAUUUGAAAGGCGCUUUCGGGUGUCGCUGAUGGAUGG